rnacentral:tRNA from 1 species
GCCUGGGUGGCUCAGUGGGUUGAGCGUCCGACUUCGGCUCAGAUCAUGAUCUCACAGUUCGUGGGUUUGAGCCCCGCAUCGGGCU